AACUAACAAGGAUUCCCCUAGUAACUGCGAGUGAAGCGGGAAAAGCUCAAAUUUUAAAUCUGGUGGUCUUUGGCCAUCCGAGUUGUAAUCUAGAGAAGUGUUACCCGCGCCGGACCGUGUAUAAGUCUCCUGGAAUGGAGCGUCAUAGAGGGUGAGAAUCCCGUCUUUGACACGGACUACCGGGGCUUUUGUGGUGCGCUCUCAAAGAGUCGAGUUGUUUGGGAAUGCAGCUCAAAAUGGGUGGUAAAUUCCAUCUAAAGCUAAAUAUUGGCGAGAGACCGAUAGCGAACAAGUACCGUGAGGGAAAGAUGAAAAGAACUUUGGAAAGAGAGUUAAACAGUACGUGAAAUUGCUGAAAGGGAAACGCUUGAAGUCAGUCGCGUUGGCUGGAAAUCAACCCUGCUUUUGCUGGGCGUACUUUCUAGUUGACGGGCCAGCAUCAGUUUUGACCGGUGGAAAAAGUCUAGGGGAAUGUGGCAUCUUCGGAUGUGUUAUAGCCCUUGGUCGUAUACAUCGGUUGGGACUGAGGAACUCAGCACGCCGCAAGGCCGGGUCAUUGACCACGUUCGUGCUUAGGAUGCUGGCAUAAUGGCUUUAAUCGACCCGUCUG
rnacentral:rRNA from 1 species